AUGAACGCUAGCUACAGGCUUAACACAUGCAAGUCGAGGGGCAUCAGGAAGAAAGCUUGCUUUCUUUGCUGGCGACCGGCGCACGGGUGAGUAACACGUAUCCAACCUGCCCUUUACUCGGGGAUAGCCUUUCGAAAGAAAGAUUAAUACCCGAUAGUAUAAUGAUUCCGCAUGGUUUGAUUAUUAAAGGAUUCCGGUAAAGGAUGGGGAUGCGUUCCAUUAGGUUGUUGGUGAGGUAACGGCUCACCAAGCCUUCGAUGGAUAGGGGUUCUGAGAGGAAGGUCCCCCACAUUGGAACUGAGACACGGUCCAAACUCCUACGGGAGGCAGCAGUGAGGAAUAUUGGUCAAUGGGCGAUGGCCUGAACCAGCCAAGUAGCGUGAAGGAUGACUGCCCUAUGGGUUGUAAACUUCUUUUAUAUUAGAAUAAAGUGCAGUAUGUAUACUGUUUUGUAUGUAUAAUAUGAAUAAGGAUCGGCUAACUCCGUGCCAGCAGCCGCGGUAAUACGGAGGAUCCGAGCGUUAUCCGGAUUUAUUGGGUUUAAAGGGAGCGUAGGUGGACUGGUAAGUCAGUUGUGAAAGUUUGCGGCUCAACCGUAAAAUUGCAGUUGAUACUGUCAGUCUUGAGUACAGUAGAGGUGGGCGGAAUUCGUGGUGUAGCGGUGAAAUGCUUAGAUAUCACGAAGAACUCCGAUUGCGAAGGCAGCUCACUGGACUGCAACUGACACUGAUGCUCGAAAGUGUGGGUAUCAAACAGGAUUAGAUACCCUGGUAGUCCACACAGUAAACGAUGAAUACUCGCUGUUUGCGAUAUACAGUAAGCGGCCAAGCGAAAGCGUUAAGUAUUCCACCUGGGGAGUACGCCGGCAACGGUGAAACUCAAAGGAAUUGACGGGGGCCCGCACAAGCGGAGGAACAUGUGGUUUAAUUCGAUGAUACGCGAGGAACCUUACCCGGGCUUAAAUUGCAGUGGAAUGAUGUGGAAACAUGUCAGUGAGCAAUCACCGCUGUGAAGGUGCUGCAUGGUUGUCGUCAGCUCGUGCCGUGAGGUGUCGGCUUAAGUGCCAUAACGAGCGCAACCCUUAUCUUUAGUUACUAACAGGUCAUGCUGAGGACUCUGGAGAGACUGCCGUCGUAAGAUGUGAGGAAGGUGGGGAUGACGUCAAAUCAGCACGGCCCUUACGUCCGGGGCUACACACGUGUUACAAUGGGGGGUACAGAAGGCAGCUACCUGGUGACAGGAUGCUAAUCCCAAAAGCCUCUCUCAGUUCGGAUCGAAGUCUGCAACCCGACUUCGUGAAGCUGGAUUCGCUAGUAAUCGCGCAUCAGCCACGGCGCGGUGAAUACGUUCCCGGGCCUUGUACACACCGCCCGUCAAGCCAUGGGAGCCGGGGGUACCUGAAGUACGUAACCGCAAGGAGCGUCCUAGGGUAAAACUGGUGACUGGGGCU
rnacentral:rRNA from 1 species